CCGGCUGCUCUGAGGCAACAAUGUCGUGCCAAGAGAAAACUCAUUUUAUUUUGGAGCCUGGAUGAGAGUUCCUUGUGACCAGAACGGAUUGAGCAGUGAGUCACCCACCAGACGUUAUUAGAGCUGUGACAACAUGAAACCAGAUGAAACCUCUAAACUCUAUCUGCUUUCCAGACCACAGAAAUGCAGCAUAUUGAAUUUGCUUUGACUUAUGCAAAUUGCAGAGCCUGAUCAUGCUCUAAUGAGAUAAUGGGGACAGAGCAGAUGUGAGACGGCUACAUGGAGACAGUGCAAUGAAGGACUUGUCUGUCUUGUGGAUUUUCCCAGGAUGAGUGAAUCAUUUGCUAGCUGCUUUCAAGUUGCUGCUAUACUACUGGCUGUGAAAGCGAGAGAACAGCUU
rnacentral:lncRNA from 1 species